CCUACGGGGGGCUGCAGUGAGGAAUUUUCGUCAAUGGGGGAAACCCUGAACGAGCAACGCCGCGUGCAGGAUGAAGGUUUUCGGAUCGUAAACUGCUUUUCUCUGGGACGAGAACGGACGGUACCAGAGGAAUAAGCCCCGGCUAACUACGUGCCAGCAGCCGCGGUAAUACGUAGGGGGCAAGCGUUGUCCGGAUUUAUUGGGCGUAAAGCGCGCGCAGGCGGUCUGCCAAGUUCGGAGUGACAGUUUCCGGCUUAACCGGAAAAGGUCUUCGAAAACUGGCGGACUUGAGGACUUGAGAGGGAGACGGAAUUCCGGGUGGAGCGGUGAAAUGCGUAGAGAUCCGGAGGAACACCGAAAGCGAAGGCAGUCUCCUGGCAAGUUUCUGACGCUCAGGUGCGAAAGCUAGGGGAGCGAACAGGAUUAGAUACCCCUGUAGUC
rnacentral:rRNA from 1 species